rnacentral:rRNA from 1 species
ACGGAAGGCAGCAGUAGGGAAUUUUCGGCAAUGGGCGAAAGCCUGACCGAGCAACGCCGCGUGAACGAAGAAGGUCUUCGGAUCGUAAAGUUCUGUUAUCGGGGAAGAGAGGCGGAUGCAGGGAAUGGUAUCCGAGAGGACGGUACCCGAUGAGGAAGCCACGGCUAACUACGUGCCAGCAGCCGCGGUAAAACGUAGGUGGCGAGCGUUAUCCGGAAUUAUUGGGCGUAAAGAGGGAGCAGGCGGUCGUGAAGGUCCACUGGUAAAAGACCGGGGCUAAACCCCGGUAGGCCGAGGAAACCGUACGACUAGAGUACAGCAGAGGAUCGUGGAAUUCCAUGUGUAGCGGUGAAAUGCGUAGAUAUAUGGAGGAACACCAGUGGCGAAGGCGACGAUCUGGGCUGAAACAGACGCUGAGUCCCGAAAGCGUGGGGAGCAAACAGGAUUAGAUACCCUGGUA